rnacentral:rRNA from 1 species
GUGUCAGCCGCCGCGGUAAUACAGAGGUCCCAAGCGUUGUUCGGAUUCACUGGGCGUAAAGGGUGCGCAGGUGGGCUGGUAAGUUUGAUGUGAAAGCCCCGGGCUUAACCCGGGAAUGGCAUUGAAUACUACUGGUAUGGAGGGUUGGAGGGGGGACUGGAAAUCUUGGUGUAGCAGUGAAAUGCGUAGAUAUCAAGAGGAACACCAGUGGCGAAGGCGAGUCCCUGGACAAUACCUGACACUGAGGCACGAAAGCUAGGGGAGCAAACAGGAUUAGAUACCCUGGUAGUCC